UCCCUGGCAGUCCAGUGGCUAAGACUCUGCUUUCAAUGCAGGGGGCACGGGUUCAAUUCCUGGUCAGGGAC
rnacentral:tRNA from 1 species